AUCCAAACGAUGGCGGAAAGCGCAAGCAGCCCAUAUGUUGCACCGAAUUCCCCAGACCCAGACAAACGGGUCGGUAAGAUCCGACCCGACUCUGAUCAGGAUCCGACCGCCGAUGCUUCGUGCAGAGGAAAUUGGAUGGGACCUCACCGGAGAGAGGACUGGUCGCUGAUGAAGACGGAGGAGGAGAAACAAGGGUGUCUGUAUUGUUUUCUCUCCAAACCCUAGAUUUCUCCCGAUUUUCGCGCCAUGGCAUCGGAUUCGACCUCCUUUCCUUCUUCCUCCGCCGUCGAAUUGGCCGAUCCGAUCCAUAGUCCCGAUCCGAGCGCGAAUUUUGGAGCGUGUCGGUGAUCGAUUGGACUCGAUGGGACUGGCGGAGCCAAACGAAGUCUCCCAUCGCAGCCACACCGAUGACGGGGUUCGCUCGCCGGAUGAAGAGGACGGGACGAUACGGUGAUUUCGUCGGUGAACGGCGAAGGAGACGGAGCGGAGGGAGGGGUGUGAUUGACGGCGGGGCAUCCGGUGGAAAUGGGUUGGGGAGGAGCUAUCGAGCCCCACAAGCGGCGGCUACGCUGGGGAAAGAGGGAGCAGCGGCGGGACUACAUCCACUUCGAGAGCCGAAGACGACGAUGCGAGCGACGGUGAGAUUCGAGAAGUCAAGGUGGAGGACGACGGGGCCUAGCAUGUGGCGCCGUGGAAAUGCCAUGUCGACGAGGAUGAUGCUAGCGUGUCAUGGAGAAAGAGGAAGAAGCAUUUCUUCAUAUGUAUUCCAGAUAUGGCGAUGAACAUAAGCUUGCUGGAUUCUCAGCUUACUCUCCAGGCUAUUAUCUCCUUUGUGGAGAAUGGGUAAACUUCACUUGCUCAUUGGUGAUCUUUUGUCCUAAUGGUGAUAUUCCUUGUAAAGGGGCCAAUCUACCUUGUCUGCAUCAGCUGUACAGAAUGAAACACAGGAAUCUUUGUGCUCGGGGGGUGGAGGGGGGUGUUAACAUUGAGCCUGUUUCACAUCCUUUCUUUUCUUUAGCUGUUUUAAGUGAGCGAUUUAACUGACCAAGAUGUAAUGAUAUGUUGCAGACGAUACUUAAAUUUUAACAAAGUCAAUAAAUAGGUGUUUUGAGAAGAAUCCGAAGUUCGGCAUGACACCUUUGCUUGGAGGAACAGAUGUUGUCUUCUCUUUCUCUGAUCCAUUCAUUGAGCUGGACUUCAGAAUCUUUCUCACCAAUCUGUCUGCCAAGAUAUAAUCCUCCUCUGGCUCUUUUGCAUGCCCACGUCCACUUCUUUGACGAUGAUAUACCUAUUGUCACGCUGCUUAGUUGACCUAGAAAUCCCUAGAUCCUUGGUCAUUCAAAACAUUACAUAUGCAACAAAUGCUCUGGGAAGAUUUUGAACCCUUGAUUCAAGAUCAGAUUUCGAUGAAUUCUUGAGACUUUGGUGGCAGACAUUGGCGGCAAAGAUAUGCAACAUGGUGUGUCACUGACUGGGGGUAUAAGAUGCGGAGAGAAUCGAGGUUUUCUUGCGGGGAGCAAGCCCCUUCUACCUGGUGAACGGUGAAUAUUCCCCCAUCUCUCUCUCUCUCACAAUCACACAACUUAGUAUUCUACCCUCUUUAAAGAAAAGAAAUAAAUAAUAAAAUAUUACCCUUUAUUUAAAAUUCAUAGUCAUAUUGAUGAAGUCUUCAAAGUCAGAUGGUGAGUUCUCUUACAAGUUUUGACCGUUCAUUAGGGCUCCAGAGUUGGGUUUGGUGCUGUUUUGAGGAUCGUAUGUGUUUUUGAGAUUAUACGCUUAACUAUGGAAGAAUCACUUGGGCUUUUGACCUAUUAUGCAUGCAGCUGUGUACGGUCUUUUUGGAUUAAAAGAAAAGGGGUUUAGUGCCAGUUUUCGGCUUUUAAUGUCAAUCGCUCCCCCCCUUUUUGAUGAUCAUCUCUAAAAUCCCAAACUCAUGUCUCUUUAUUUUGCCAUGGAUGAAUAAUCAUAUUUCUCAUUA